UACGUAGGUGGCAAGCGUUGUCCGGAUUUACUGGGCGUAAAGAGCGCGCAGGCGGUCGAUUUAGUCGCGUGUGAAAGCCCCCGGCUCAACUGGGGAGGGUCGACGCGAUACUGAUCGACUCGAAGGCAGGAGAGGGUAGUGGAAUUCCCGGUGUAGUGGUGAAAUGCGUAGAUAUCGGGAGAACACCAGUGGCGAAGGCGAGCUACCUGGCCUGUUCUUGACGCUGAGGCGCGAAAGCUAGGGGAGCAAACGGGG
rnacentral:rRNA from 1 species